CCUACGGGCGGCUGCAGUGGGGAAUCUUGCGCAAUGGGCGAAAGCCUGACGCAGCCAUGCCGCGUGAAUGAUGAAGGUCUUAGGAUUGUAAAAUUCUUUCACCGGGGAAGAUAAUGACGGUACCCGGAGAAGAAGCCCCGGCUAACUUCGUGCCAGCAGCCGCGGUAAUACGAAGGGGGCUAGCGUUGCUCGGAAUUACUGGGCGUAAAGGGCGCGUAGGCGGAUAGUUUAGUCAGAGGUGAAAGCCCAGGGCUCAACCUUGGAAUUGCCUUUGAUACUGGCUAUCUUGAGUUCGGGAGAGGUGAGUGGAAUGCCGAGUGUAGAGGUGAAAUUCGUAGAUAUUCGGCGGAACACCAGUGGCGAAGGCGACUCACUGGCCCGAUACUGACGCUGAGGCGCGAAAGCGUGGGGAGCAAACAGGAUUAGAUACCCCGGUAGUC
rnacentral:rRNA from 1 species